CCAACGGUUCCAUUUGGAACCAACCACAGUUACAGGAGAACACAC
rfam:Nomascus leucogenys chromosome 16, whole genome shotgun sequence.